rnacentral:rRNA from 1 species
AGAGUUUGAUCCUGGCUCAGGAUGAACGCUGGCGGCGUGCCUAAUACAUGCAAGUCGAGCGAACGGACGAGAAGCUUGCUUCUCUGAUGUUAGCGGCGGACGGGUGAGUAACACGUGGAUAACCUACCUAUAAGACUGGGAUAACUUCGGGAAACCGGAGCUAAUACCGGAUAAUAUUUUGAACCGCAUGGUUCAAAAGUGAAAGACGGUCUUGCUGUCACUUAUAGAUGGAUCCGCGCUGCAUUAGCUAGUUGGUAAGGUAACGGCUUACCAAGGCAACGAUGCAUAGCCGACCUGAGAGGGUGAUCGGCCACACUGGAACUGAGACACGGUCCAGACUCCUACGGGAGGCAGCAGUAGGGAAUCUUCCGCAAUGGGCGAAAGCCUGACGGAGCAACGCCGCGUGAGUGAUGAAGGUCUUCGGAUCGUAAAACUCUGUUAUUAGGGAAGAACAUAUGUGUAAGUAACUGUGCACAUCUUGACGGUACCUAAUCAGAAAGCCACGGCUAACUACGUGCCAGCAGCCGCGGUAAUACGUAGGUGGCAAGCGUUAUCCGGAAUUAUUGGGCGUAAAGCGCGCGUAGGCGGUUUUUUAAGUCUGAUGUGAAAGCCCACGGCUCAACCGUGGAGGGUCAUUGGAAACUGGAAAACUUGAGUGCAGAAGAGGAAAGUGGAAUUCCAUGUGUAGCGGUGAAAUGCGCAGAGAUAUGGAGGAACACCAGUGGCGAAGGCGACUUUCUGGUCUGUAACUGACGCUGAUGUGCGAAAGCGUGGGGAUCAAACAGGAUUAGAUACCCUGGUAGUCCACGCCGUAAACGAUGAGUGCUAAGUGUUAGGGGGUUUCCGCCCCUUAGUGCUGCAGCUAACGCAUUAAGCACUCCGCCUGGGGAGUACGACCGCAAGGUUGAAACUCAAAGGAAUUGACGGGGACCCGCACAAGCGGUGGAGCAUGUGGUUUAAUUCGAAGCAACGCGAAGAACCUUACCAAAUCUUGACAUCCUUUGACAACUCUAGAGAUAGAGCCUUCCCCUUCGGGGGACAAAGUGACAGGUGGUGCAUGGUUGUCGUCAGCUCGUGUCGUGAGAUGUUGGGUUAAGUCCCGCAACGAGCGCAACCCUUAAGCUUAGUUGCCAUCAUUAAGUUGGGCACUCUAAGUUGACUGCCGGUGACAAACCGGAGGAAGGUGGGGAUGACGUCAAAUCAUCAUGCCCCUUAUGAUUUGGGCUACACACGUGCUACAAUGGACAAUACAAAGGGCAGCGAAACCGCGAGGUCAAGCAAA